rnacentral:rRNA from 1 species
UACGAAGGACCCAAGCGUUAUCCGGAUUUAUUGGGUUUAAAGGGUGCGUAGGCGGGUUAUUAAGUCAGUGGUGAAAGCCUUCAGCUUAACUGAAGAAUUGCCAUUGAUACUGAUGAUCUUGAGUAUGAUUGAGGUGGGCGGAAUGUGUCAUGUAGCGGUGAAAUGCUUAGAUAUGACACAGAACACCGAUUGCGAAGGCAGCUCACUAAGUCAUAACUGACGCUGAUGCACGAAAGCGUGGGGAGCAAACAGG